rnacentral:snRNA from 1 species
AGAUGUGAGGGCAAUCUGACUGCGACAUUUGUCACCCUAUUGCCCACCAGAGUUGACUUGGCUGAUCUGGCUGUCUAGAGGUGUGUCCCCUUCCUCCCUCCUCACUCCACGAGUGUCCCUCCUGAACCUGCACUUUCGGUCAAAGAGGGUGAGCUUCCUGGAAUAGAGGAGGACCGUUCUUUGGUCAAGGGUACACGAGUAGCUGUGUCCCCUGCUAGAACCUUCAAACAAGCCCACAAAAAGAUGUGAAGCAAGUUUAUAAAGUGUUAAAUUUCAAGAAAGCUUGGCGGUAGGUACAAAGAUAUUUGUUCUAUUAGUC